ACUCAGUGAAAUUGAACUCGCUGUGAAGAUGCAGUGUACCCGCGGCAAGACGGAAAGACCCCGUGAACCUUUACUAUAGCUUGACACUGAACAUUGAGCCUUGAUGUGUAGGAUAGGUGGGAGGCUUUGAAGUGUGGACGCCAGUCUGCAUGGAGCCGGCCUUGAAAUACCACCCUUUAAUGUUUGAUGUUCUAACGUUGGCCCCUGAUCGGGGUUGCGGACAGUGUCUGGUGGGUAGUUUGACUGGGGCGGUCUCCUCCUAAAGAGUAACGGAGGAGCACGAAGGUUGGCUAAUCCUGGUCGGACAUCAGGAGGUUAGUGCAAUGGCAUAAGCCAGC
rnacentral:rRNA from 1 species